CCGAUGUUGUGCUGGGAGAUGUCUAGUGUC
rnacentral:piRNA from 1 species